rnacentral:hammerhead_ribozyme from 1 species
GUACUGAUGAAGAGUCCCAAACCAGGACGAAACAGCUGUCCACUAU